GAGGGCCAUCCCAUGGAGGAUGGUUGUGGAUCACAUGAAAACUCCACAGUUAAGCGUGCUCGGUUGGAAGCAGUAUAAAGAUGGGUGACUUCCUGGGAAAUCUUCACCGGGUCAACCAAAAACAAAUCCGUGAGUUUCUGGAUGGGCAAAUCAGACAAUAUUGGUGGUAAGAGGGGUCCGAUGCUACAAAUGGUAUCAGAGACACUCUUAUGUCGUUCGACAUGGUGGGGCAAACCUCAUCGACGACGAUGAAUCCCUAAGGGGAUGAUUGUAACGAUACGAUACGAUACCGAUAAUGAUACCGACUACCAAGAAGAUUAACAUGGACCAUUGUAACAACCUAGGCAUAUCCCACAUCGGUCGUGGCUAGGAGAUAUUUCUGUUCAUAAGACAUGUCCUGUCUCUUAAAUCACUAACGUGUUUUAGGCUUAGUUUGCUAUGGAGUACAUGAAAACUCCAUAGUUAAGUAUGCUCAGGUAGGAGUAGUACUAGGUUGGGUGACCUUGUGGAAAGUCUCCAUCGAGGUAACC
rnacentral:lncRNA from 1 species